GGAUGUGAGGGUGAUCUGGCUGCAACAUCUGUCACCACACUGAUUUCCAGGGUUGAUUCCGCUGAUCUGGCUGGCUAGGUGACUGUUCCCUUUCUCCUUCACUGCUCCAUGUGCCUCCCUCCUUAAGCUGGGUGCUCAAUGGGACGGCCUUCCCUCAAUAGAGACAGAUUGGUCUUUGGUAGAAGGUAUCUGAGUAGCUGCGAUCCCCUGCUAGAACUGACAAACAAGCUCACAGGGUCCAUUUGUAGGAGAAUGUAGGUAGUCAAGCUUCCAAGACUCCACACAAUAAGGCACUGCAUGCAGCAGUCUGCCUUUAAAA
ensembl:misc_RNA 7SK 7SK RNA